rnacentral:lncRNA from 1 species
AGGCUUUUAAUUUUACGGAAUGAAUAACAAGUUUUGCAUCUCUAUAGACAAGAUAAGGAUCCUGCAGCUCAGAGUCACCUCUUGUUAUUCUUUAAUGGUAGCGUCUGGACACACUUAGUUCAGUUCUUCUUCUACUAUUCCAAAUGGAUGGACCACAAGGUCUGUCAGUCCUCUGCUUCAGUAUUAAUUCACCAUCAAAAAACACUUAUUGAAAGCCUUUUAUGUACCUGUUCCUAUACUUGGUACCAGGUUGCAAAGAUAUAUCUUUGAAUUCUUGGACUUAUGAGUGUAGUGGUGGAAAUAUACAGGAUACCCAAAAUGUGAUGUGAAAUUGCUAAGCAGAGGAAUGUUGCUCUGUGCUCUGGAGCCCAGAGGAGAGGAGCCACUGAUUUAUCAAAGAAACUAUUGGCUUUUAAAUAAGAAGAAAUUCCUGGAAAUCGAAUUAUUGAUAGACCACAUGAACUCUACUUUCGGGUGA